AAAAGCAGAACAUGAUGUCUUGUAUCCACAACAAGCAGAACAUCCAAAACCAACCAGAACUGCCAGGUGAGCACCAUCAAGAGACCGCCUGUCUGAGAGAAACAGUAUAGGCCUAUACUGUACAUCUCAGCAGGAGACUUUGAGACUUUUUUUUAGUUUUUAUAAUGCUGCACAUUUGUAAAAUACCAGUAUUGUCUGGAACAAAAUGAAGGAUUGUACAAUAUGCAAUAUAAUAUAAGUACCUGAGCUGUACAAAAAAUAGUUAUUGUAUGGAGAUGAGGGAGGAUAUAGUGACCAUUUCUGUGAGCACAACAGUUAGCAGGUCUGGGUACACUGCAUUACUGGGAGAGGGAGUUAAGUCAUUUAGAGACGAAUGACCGCGUCGCAGGAAGUGCAUCAUAAUAAAGGGACGCCAGACCCUCUUGUAACAGCUGUACUCAGUGAUACUGCAGACUCGUAAAAUUAGUUAGAAAAUA